AACACUAAAAUUAAAGAAACCCCUCCAUUUCUUUAAUCCCAUUCUGCCGAAUUCAAAAAAGAAAACCAAGGGGUUCGGCCCCCUUUCUCCUUCUGAAAGGGCGCAGCGCCCAUCAUCGCAGCGCUUUCCCUCCCCUGUGCGCUCAUUGGCGACCGUCGGAAACUAGGUGUUGUUGCAGAUAUCUCGGAAGCACGAGGAGUGACAAAGAGGGACUGCUAGUAGCGCAUGUCUCGGAAGUGCGGUGGAUGGUGGAGUAGGACGUUGGUGAGAGGCGUGCGGCGCGAGGGCUCAAGCAACAGCUUUAGGUUUUUGUUUGUUUGGGCCUUGUUUGGGUUUAUUUUUGGGCCUGUAUUUUAGAUGUAAAUGGGUCUUGGGUUUUGGAGCUUUGGGCCCGGGCAUAAAUUUGGUCCUACAGCUGCCCCUCUUUGCUCAUUGUGGUGUAACGAGAAUAGAGAAAAGA